GCAUUGUGGCUCAAUGGUAGAGUGCUUACCUAGCAUGUGUGAGGCACUGGGUUCGAUCCCCAGCACCA
rnacentral:tRNA from 1 species